UACGUAGGGUGCGAGCGUUGUCCGGAAUUACUGGGCGUAAAGGGCUCGUAGGCGGCCAACUAAGUCAGACGUGAAAUCCCUCGGCUUAACCGGGGAACUGCGUCUGAUACUGGAUGGCUUGAGAUUGGGAGAGGGAUGCGGAAUUCCAGGUGUAGCGGUGAAAUGCGUAGAGAUCGGCAGGAACACCCAGGGGGAAACCAGUGGACUGGGCAUGUGCUGACGCUCAGGUGCGAAAGCGUGGGGAGCGAACCGG
rnacentral:rRNA from 1 species